UACGUAGGGUGCAAGCGUUAAUCGGAAUUACUGGGCGUAAAGCGUACGCAGGCGGCUAUGUAAGACAGGUGUGAAAUCCCCGGGCUCAACCUGGGAACUGCAUUUGUGACUGCAUGGCUGGAGUGCGGCAGAGGGGGAUGGAAUUCCGCGUGUAGCAGUGAAAUGCGUAGAUAUGCGGAGGAACACCGAUGGCGAAGGCAAUCCCCUGGGCCUGCACUGACGCUCAUGCACGAAAGCGUGGGGAGCAAACAGG
rnacentral:rRNA from 1 species